rnacentral:rRNA from 1 species
GACGAACGCUGGCGGCGUGCCUAAUACAUGCAAGUCGAACGCAGUUGCGAACGGGUGAGUAACGCGUAGGUAACUGCCUCAUAGCGGGGGAUAACUAUUGGAAACGAUAGCUAAUACCGCAUACUGUGUGAUGGACCUGCGUUGUAUUAGCUAGUUGGUGAGGUAAAGGCUCACCAAGGCGACGAUACAUAGCCGACCUGAGAGGGUGAUCGGCAAAUCAGGGAAUGGGACACGGCCCAGACUCCUACGGGAGGCAGCAGUAGGGAAUCUUCGGAAAUGGACGGAAGUCUGACCGAGCAACGCCGCGUGAGUGAAUAAGGUUUUCGGAUCGUAAAGCUCUGGUGUUAGGGUAGCGGUAACUAACCAGAAAGGGACGGCUAACUACGUGCCAGCAGCCGCGGUAAUAC